rnacentral:rRNA from 1 species
UACAAAACAAUAAAAAAUCUAAUUUAUUAAUAAAUAACUAAAACUAUAAACUUUAAACUUUUUUUAUUAAAACCGAAAGGGAAAAUUUUUCAAUAUUAAAUAAGAAAAAUAAAUGUACCUUUAGCAUAAGGGGAUACUAAAAAAGAAAUAAAAUUUUAUAUUUCCCGAAAUGUUUUGAGCUAAAUAUUUAAUUUAAUUAAUGUUUCAAUAUUAAAUAAAAUUAAAUUUUAGAAGUGAAAUUCCUAUCAAAAAGCAUGAUAUCUGGUUAUAUAAUAUAAUUUCACGUAUUUCUAUAAAUAUAUAAAAUUUAUUUUAAAAACUUAUAGAAAAUUAAUUUUGGGAUAAUCUGAAAUUAACAAAUUUAAAGACUUAAAAAGGUAAAUUUAAAGAAUAAAAUUUUCUUUGUUAUUUUUAUAAAUAAAUUUAUAUUUUUUUAUAAAACUAAUUUAAAUUAUUUAUUAAAUUAAAUUUUAAUAUUUAAAUAAAAAUGGUACUAUUAGUAAAAGUGAUUGUUACUUUUCAAACUUAACUUUUAAAAUAAAUUAGAAUUUUAUUAAUUUAAAAGAAUUAGGCAAAUAUAUUUUCUGACUGUUUAAUAAAAACAACGCAUUUAGUAUAUUAAUAAAUGCAAAUCCUGCUCAAUGAAAAUUUUAAAUUGCUGUAGUAUUUUGACUAUACAAAGGUAUUGAAAUAAGAUUUUAAUUGAAUGCUAAGAGAAUGGAAUUACAGAAAAUAGCUUUUUUUAGAUUAAAAAUUGAAAUUUUUUUAAUUUGUGCAGAAACAAUUAUUAAUAUUAAGGACAAGAAGACCCUAUGAAUUUAUAAAUUUAUGUUAUAGUAAUUAAUAUAAAAUAAAUUUUGGUUGGGGCGACAAAAAAAAAUAAAAAACUUUUUUUUUAUAAAAUGAUCCAUUAUUAAUGAUUAUAUGAAAAAUACUCUAGGGAUAACAGCGUUAUAUUUUUUGAUAGCUCAUAUUGACAAAAAAGUUUGCGACCUCGAUGUUGGAUUAGGAUACUUUCUUAAUGAAGAUAUUAAAAAAAGAAGUUUGUUCAACUUUUAAUUUCCUACAUGAUCUGAGUUUAGACCGAUGAGAAUCAGGUUGGAUUCUAUCUUAAUAAUAAAACAAUUUUAAUUAGUACGAAAGGAAUUUUAAAAUUUAAUUAUUAAGAUAAACAACUUUAUUUGCAUCAAUUUUUGUAAUU